rnacentral:snoRNA from 1 species
CUGCAUCUGACAGACCUGGAGCAGUUAAUGUCAGUUGCUUAAGGUUUCCACUACAGAUGCAAGAAAAAAAAGGUCCUCGCACUGUCUGUCUGUCUGGUCAUAGCAGCCAAGAUGGAAUGGGGGAAUACAGGA